CCUUUGACGUUAGCGGCGGACGGGUGAGUAACACGUGGGUAACCUACCUAUAAGACUGGGAUAACUUCGGGAAACCGGAGCUAAUACCGGAUAAUAUUUCGAACCGCAUGGUUCGAUAGUGAAAGGUGGUUUUGCUAUCACUUAUAGAUGGACCCGCGCCGUAUUAGCUAGUUGGUAAGGUAACGGCUUACCAAGGCGACGAUACGUAGCGACCUGAGAGGGUGAUCGGCCACACUGGAACUGAGACACGGUCCAGACUCCUACGGGAGGCAGCAGCA
rnacentral:rRNA from 1 species